rnacentral:snoRNA from 1 species
CAUGCCCCAGUGUUGCAGACGUGGCUGUCGUGCCACGUUUGUGUCAUUAGGUGGCAGAGAGGAAGAGGCCAAGUCUUUGCUAGUGCUCUGAAACCCGUGAGCACUCAGGAAUGAUGAGAACCUGACAAU